rnacentral:rRNA from 1 species
UGAGCAAUCUGCCCUUCUCAUCGGAAUAAGCGUUGGAAACGACGUCUAAUGCCGAAUACGACCUCCUUUCGCAUGAUCGGAGGUGGAAAGCUCCGGCGGAGAAGGAUGAGCUCGCGGCCUAUCAGCUAGUUGGUGUGGGCAACGGCCCACCAAGGCGACGACGGGUAGCCGGCCUGAGAGGGUGACCGGCCACACUGGGACUGAGACACGGCCCAGACCUCCUACGGGAANCAG